GGGGUCAAACUGUACGUUGUAUG
rnacentral:miRNA from 2 species